GGCUUAGAGUUUGAUCAUGGCUCAGGAUGAACGCUAGCGACAGGCUUAACACAUGCAAGUCGAGGGGCAGCGGGGGUAGCGAUACCCGCCGGCGACCGGCGCGCGGGUGAGUAACGCGUAUGCAACUUGCCUAUCAGAGGGGGAUAACCCGGCGAAAGUCGGACUAAUACCGCAUGAAGCAGGGGCCCCGCAUGGGGAUAUUUGCUAAAGAUUCAUCGCUGAUAGAUAGGCAUGCGUUCCAUUAGGCAGUUGGCGGGGUAACGGCCCACCAAACCGACGAUGGAUAGGGGUUCUGAGAGGAAGGUCCCCCACAUUGGUACUGAGACACGGACCAAACUCCUACGGGAGGCAGCAGUGAGGAAUAUUGGUCAAUGGGCGUAAGCCUGAACCAGCCAAGUCGCGUGAGGGAUGAAGGUUCUAUGGAUCGUAAACCUCUUUUAUAAGGGAAUAAAGUGUGGGACGUGUCCUAUUUUGUAUGUACCUUAUGAAUAAGGAUCGGCUAACUCCGUGCCAGCAGCCGCGGUAAUACGGAGGAUCCGAGCGUUAUCCGGAUUUAUUGGGUUUAAAGGGUGCGUAGGCGGCCUCUUAAGUCAGCGGUGAAAGUCUGUGGCUCAACCAUAGAAUUGCCGUUGAAACUGGGGGGCUUGAGUAUGUUUGAGGCAGGCGGAAUGCGUGGUGUAGCGGUGAAAUGCUUAGAUAUCACGCAGAACCCCGAUUGCGAAGGCAGCCUGCCAAGCCAUGACUGACGCUGAUGCACGAAAGCGUGGGGAUCAAACAGGAUUAGAUACCCUGGUAGUCCACGCAGUAAACGAUGAUCACUAGCUGUUUGCGAUACAGUGUAAGCGGCACAGCGAAAGCGUUAAGUGAUCCAC
rnacentral:rRNA from 1 species